rnacentral:rRNA from 1 species
AACGAACGCUGGCGGUAUGCUUUACACAUGCAAGUCGAACGAACUUAGGCCUAGCUUGCUAGGAACGGUUAGUGGCAGACGGGUGAGUAACGCGUGGGAACCUACCUUGUAGUACGGAAUAGCCAUUGGAAACGAUGAUUAAUACCGUAUACGCUCUUCGGAGGAAAGAUUUAUCGCUAUAAGAUGGGCCCGCGUUAGAUUAGUUUGUUGGUGAGGUAAUGGCUCACCAAGACUACGAUCUAUAGCUGGUUUGAGAGGAUGAUCAGCCACACUGGAACUGAGACACGGUCCAG